AAGACUAUAGACCUGCGGAGUACCUGCGGAAGGAUCAUUACUGAGUGAGGGCCCUCUGGGUCCAACCUCCCACCCGUGUUUAUUGUACCUUGUUGCUUCGGUGGGCCCGCCGCAAGGCCGCCGGGGGCUUCCGCCCCGGGCCCGCGCCCACCGGAGACAAACUGAACUCUGUCUGAAUGUUGCAGUCUGAGUAAAAACUUAAUAAGUUAAAACUUUUAGCAAUGGAUCUCUAGAUCGGAA
rnacentral:misc_RNA from 1 species